rnacentral:tRNA from 1 species
GGGCUGUAGCUCAGUUGGCGAGAGCACCUGCUUUGCAAGCAGGGGGUCGUGGGUUCAAGUCCCAUCAGCUCC